rnacentral:misc_RNA from 1 species
AAGUCGUAACAAGGUUUCCGUAGGUGAACCUGCGGAAGGAUCAUUACCAUAUUAUUCUUCUAAAAGCCCUGCGCUUUCGAGAGAAUUGCAGGCAACCCAUGAGCAAGGGCCACGCGGUUCCGCGUGGCGUGAGGGAACCAGACAUGCUGACAUGAGUGCCCGGUUCUAGCGCCGUUCCCCACCCUGGGUGGGAGCUCUGAGAACGGACUCGGUUCUUCACCGAACCCUGUGCUUGAAAAGGAACAACAAUAACGUACAACUGCAAACGGUGGAUCACUCGGCUC